ensembl:snRNA U6 U6 spliceosomal RNA
AUGCUCACUUCGGCAGCACAUAAUACUAAAAUUGGAACGAUACAGAGAAGAUUAGCAUGGCCCCUAAGCAAGGAUGACAUGCAAAUUCGUGAGGCGUUCCAUAUUUUU